AAAAAAAAGGAUGAACUACAAGUGCUUAUCCUUGAAGCUUAUUGAUCCCAAAUGAAAUUGUGCAAACCAUAAGUCCAAGCAAAGCCAAGAAUCCAUAUUUCCUGCACAUGAAUUAUUAAAAAUGACAUUAAAUGCAUGUAUAAAUCAUCAAAAUUAACUAGGAUUGUUCCAUUAAACUUAAUAAAUACAUCCAAGAUUCACUUUA
rnacentral:lncRNA from 1 species